UGUUGUUCUAUAUUAUAUUGAUCUGACCCAAGUGUGGGGUAUAUAUAGAGUACAAUAUGAGGGAGAGAGACUUGGAGUAGAGGGCAAGUCGUACACGAUUUAAUCCUAUUCUAUCUCUAACUCCUAAUCUCUAACUUAAACAUAAUUAUACUUCUAACAUUCCCCCUCAGUCGUAGCGGGAGUGAAGCGGACGAUUACGACUGAAUUUGAAGUCUUGCUCUUUUGUCGUCUUCUCCGCUACGCCAUCAUCAACUGCGUCUCUGAUGCGUCGGCAGUUAAGGCGGUGACUGCGUCCCCUUCUGGUGCCUUCCUGCCUUCCCCUCUAUUCCCUCCCGCAGUCACAGCGGGAGCGUCGUGGACGCAAAUGACGAGGCGGACGCUGUUGACUGGAGUUGUUGCCGAUGAGUUGCUGUAGACGCAGCCCCGUAUGUCGAUGUCGAGGUAGCCGAUCAUGAUGAUGUAGCCAUGGUCGAGGUAGUCAUGGUCGAUGGUGUGGUCGUCGUGGAUGAUGAAGCCGCACAAAGCCGGAGGCGCAAAAAAAAUGCGCUCUGACGGAGCUGCAGACAUGGACGAUGCACCUUGCGGAUGUCAGAGGGUGCCGUCGGCGAUGAGUCCACCGAUUUUGCCAAGAUCGGAGGAAGCCCAUCGAGCACACAUCGGUUUUGCCAGAACCGUGUGGCCGUGUAGGGUCGUCACUGUAGUGACGCCGUGUUGAUGCAGUCGUGCCGUCGUGGAUGACGC
rnacentral:rRNA from 1 species